GCUCGAUAAAGCAUCCUUAAGCCACAAAAGGAGCUUUAUUCUCUUCCAGCUGGUCUGCACUCGAGCCAAAGGGAUGCGCUGAAAGCAGCUCUCCGCAGCGGGCCCCUCGUCACACAAUGCGCCCGUUCUUUGAAGGACUUGGCCAACGGCAAUUAAACCUGCCGGGCCCGUGUAAAGCCGGAGAGGGUAUCAUUUCCAGAGAGGGCAAAGCAGAGGUGCAGAGGAGCGGGGUGGGGGCAGGUGGGCAGCCUGGAAAACCAGCUGCAUGGACACACAGAAGCCAAGUCCCCGCUGGCAGGGCCCUACCCCCUCCCAAGGUUUGGGAGGCCGCUCAUUCGGAUGGACAAAAAGGUCCGGGACCCGCAUGUGGCCUUUGAAACCACGUAGGAUAAUUAAGUGUUUUUCAGAGAGGAAACACCUCCUGCGCCAGCUCCCUGCCCUGCGGGCACUUGCUGCAACGUGCCAGGAAAGGGGCAGGCUCGUGCCUCCGACCCAGCAGGCCUCACUGAACUGCACAUGUGGCUCGGGUCAGAUCCUGGCUCUUAGCCCACGUCUACACCCGGGCAGGCUAAUCUUGUUUUGGCCGGGCAGGCAGCCGCAGGUCCUGGGUGACUCAAGCCAACCCCUCAAAUUUGCUAAGCAUGGGAGCUGCUGAUUCCCCCACGUCAAUCAGGGGUGCAUGCAGUACCGGGACAGAGGGAUGAAGGAAGGUGCAGGAUCUUUGGUGGAUGCUGAAGCCCCGUUCCUUGCUGAAUAUGUGCAGCUCCAAUGCCAACCUCUGCUCCCCCAAAUGUGCCUCUCAUAGCCCGGAAGGACUGGAGCCAGGGAGGACGCCUGCAUCCGGCGAUAAGGCUGCAGGAGGUGGGCUCUGCUCUGCACAAACUGGACCCCGAUGCAGCUCACGUCUCACAGGCCGGGCUGCUCCCGAAUGGCAGGAGCUUCCUUCCUGAAAACAGCUCAGAGGGCACCAAGGGCGACUCAUUCACAUCCCAUUUCCCUCCCUCAGCCACAACCCCGAGCCUCCCGGGCCUGGAAAACUUCUGGCUGCCUCCCGUAAAGAGCAAUGCACGUCAAACCCCUGGGGUCAGAGGAGACGGUACGGCUGCUAGAAGCUAAUCCAGGCUGGAGAGAGGCGAUAUGAAACCCACUGGAGAAAAACAGGUUUCAAGCCAACCUUCGAGUGAGGCGGGGAGAGGAGAGAGCAUUUGUGAACCACCGCCGAGGCAGAGCCAGGCAAAGAAAAUGCAUAGCCCGUUCACGCCAUAAAGGACUAUUAGAGCAUUUAUAGAGCAUUUAACGUGGUCUCCUGUGUAAUGCAAGCAACAGAAAUACCCCAAACAGAGUCCAACGCCUGGCGCUGGCUGCAGCAGAUCUCCUGCACCCAGACGGGGCCGGAGCCAUUCAUGCCCAUCCCAACAAGACUAACCAAUUACUCUGCUAAAGCGAGAACAUUGCGAGCAGAGUUGACCAAACACGUUUUCCCCGCCAAGGCGAGAGCCAGUCGAAAGGACGCCUGCCAGCUCCUUCGUGAUGAUGAAACCUCCGAAGAGCAGGUGCCGGAGCUGACUGCAUCCAUUUAUCCAUUUGAUAAACGGCAGGAGAGGAAAUUGCAUCUCCCAACGAAGAGGAGCUGCCGCCAUCUGUGGAUUUCCUAAUCAAGUGUGACAUGACAUGCAGGCCGGCUCCGGCAGAGGCGGCUCGAUAAUAAGAUUUCAGAAGUUGCUGACCCAGAGGAUCCUAGGAUGGGUCCCGAGCCCCAAACCUUCUAGUGCUCUGUGGCUUUUCCAAGGAUAAAGUGGUGCUAACUGAUAACGUGCAUUAUAUUGCUGUGGGUACCAGGAGAGGCAGGUCCGUAGACGUCUACGGGGACCCAGUCCUUGAUUUCCAGGCACGGCGGUUCUACCUGCAACUUGCAGAAGAGAUUUGGGUCGAACGCUACAGCUGAGUGACGUGGUUCAUGGGCACGUGCACCCCAGCAGAGAAGAGGGAACAUCUGGGGCUAACGAAAGGGGAGGCUGGCACUCCAAGGUGGACUGCCCACCCAUGGCUAGGGGUGGGAAGGAGCUGGAGGAGGCCGUGAGGCUGGCAGAGGGUGAGAUGCGACUAGAUGCAAGACGCCGGCUGGCAGAGCUGUGCAGAGCACUGCGAUGCAGCAGGCAGAGGCAUUGGGCAGGUUCAGAGAGCAGUGGAGCCUGCUCCAUGCCGGAUGAGCAGGAGGAGGAUGACAAGGAGGGCUUUCCAGGCUCCUGAUCCCAUGCUGCUUGCACUUCCCUAUCCCCUGUGCAUGGGAGCAUCGAGGUUUGACUUUAACGCUCCCGCCUGGCUGAACCGGAGGACGAGACACGCCAGCACCAGAGCUCGCCUAGUCCAGGCCUCUGCUUUUGGCUGCAUUAAACCGCGCCUGGCAGACGGUGUCUCCUCCCCUGGUCUGGAGACCCUCCAGCGGGAGGGUUUCCACCACCUGCCACCGAACACAUCCGGUGCCUAAUGCCCUCAUAUCAGACCUCAGCUGUCCUGGUCCUGUCCUCCGGCAGCCCUCAAGCACAGCUGAUUGCCUCCCACUUUGCAGCAGCUUUUACACGGUUGAAGACUUCCUCUGGCUUCUCUUCUCCAGACUAAAACAAGCUCACGUCUUUCAAUCUUUCCCCGCAGAUGGUGCUUUCUAGGCCUCGGACCAUGCUCGUUGCUCUGUGCUGGUCUCUCUCCCAACAGCUGACAUCCUUCUUUCCGAGGCCUUGCUGGUACCGAACGGCGGGGAAAGAUGAUUUCACCCAUCUCCCAUAUCACCGCCAGGUUGUGCAUCCCAGCACGACACCUGCUUCCCUCCCGGCUUCAACAGCAGCACGAUCCCGACGAUGACUCACUUUCUGUCUGUGAUCCUCCAUCACACCCCGAUGCUCAGCCAGUCACUCCCCCUCCCGGGUUUGGGAUCUUGAUUAUUCUUACCUAAGUGCCGUACUUUGCACUUGUCCUCCUUCAAGCGCAACCCAGUUAUUUCAGGCCCUUCCUCCAAUACAUCGAGAUCCUUUUGAAUUCUGAUCUUUUCCACCUAGCACGACGCAUCCCGUAACCUCAGAGAGAGAGAGACUCGCUUCUACUGAAUUUCUAGAACAAGCGUUUGCGUGACGGCCAAGAGGAAAUGGAGAGGAACAAAAACAACUUCGUGAACAAAUCCGCCAGGCAGAGGAUGGAAACACAAGACUGAGAGCUUCUCUCUGGAAACCUCCCAGAUCAAGAACAAAGUUGACUGAUGCAGAAGCCAAAGUAAUACCAUAGCUAGGAGAUGGAGCUGUUUUCCAUUCACUCCCUCCUCCACUGGAAGAAAGCAACGCAGGGAAAUUCGGAUAUAAAAUGGCAAAACUGAGACUCAAAUGACAAGACCGUGGCCCAACAAAUCUAUAAAGCUAGCGGGAGGUUCAGUCUGUGCAAAGAAAGCAAAAGGCACAUAAUAAGGGUCACAGAGCUCACACAGAUUGAGUUAUAACCAUAUAGGUUAUAUAUUGGGUUAUAUAGCAUUGGGUUAUAACAAUAUAGAUUAUACCUUGGGUUAUAUAGCAUUCGGUUUUAACAACACAGAUUAUAUAUUGGGUUAUACAGCAUUGGGUUAUAACAAUAUAGGUUAUAUAUUGGGUUAUAUAGCAUUGGGUUAUAACAAUAUAGGCUAUAUAUUGGUUUAUAUAGCAUUGGGUUAUAACCACAUAGGUUAUAUGUUGGGUUAUGUAGCACUGGGUUAUAAUCAUAUAGGUUAUAUAUUGAGUUAUAACAAUAUCAGUUAUAGAUUGGGCUAUAAAGCAUUGAGUUAUAACAAUAUAGGCUAUAUAUUGGGUUAUAUAGCAUUGGGUUAUAACAAUAUAGGUUAUAUAUUAGGUUAUAAAGCAUUGAGUUAUAACAAUACAGGCUAUAUAUUGGUUUA